GACCCCAUCGUCUAGUGGUUAGGACUCGAGGUUUUCGACCUCGCAACCGGGGUUCGAACCCCCGUGGGGUCG
rnacentral:tRNA from 1 species